rfam:Oryza rufipogon genomic scaffold, chr01
GUCAAGCCCUGAAGCCCUAGGUUUCUGUGUCUAACGUUUAACAAUCCAUCUUAUUUAAAAAAAAUUAAAAAGACAAGUCACGUAUAAAGCAUUAAUCAUGUUUUAUCAUCUAACAAUAAUAAAAAUACUAAUUAUAAAAAAAAUUUAAAUAAGACGGACGGUUAAUCGUUAGACACGGAAAUUCAGGGUUUAUUUUUUU